AACUUAAUGUAUGUGCAGUCUGCACAUGCUAAUCUGGGAUGACACUUUAAUAGAACUUAAUGUAUGUGCAGUCUGCACAUGCUAAUCUGGGAUGACACUUUAAUAGGACUUAAUGUAUGUGCAGUCUGCACAGGCUAAUCUGGGAUGACAAUUUAAG